rnacentral:rRNA from 1 species
GACGAACGCUGGCGGCGUGCUUAACACAUGCAAGUCGAACGGAAAGGCCCUGCUUUUGUGGGGUGCUCGAGUGGCGAACGGGUGAGUAACACGUGAGUAACCUGCCCUUGACUUUGGGAUAACUUCAGGAAACUGGGGCUAAUACCGGAUAGGAGCUCCUGCUGCAUGGUGGGGGUUGGAAAGUUUCGGCGGUUGGGGAUGGACUCGCGGCUUAUCAGCUUGUUGGUGGGGUAGUGGCUUACCAAGGCUUUGACGGGUAGCCGGCCUGAGAGGGUGACCGGCCACAUUGGGACUGAGAUACGGCCCAGACUCCUACGGGAGGCAGCGGUGGGGAAUAUUGCACAAUGGGCGGAAGCCUGAUGCAGCAACGCCGCGUGCGGGAUGACGGCCUUCGGGGUGUAAACCGCUUUCGCCUGUGACGAAGCCUGAGUGACGGUAAUUGGUAAGAAAGCACCGGCUAACUACGUG